rnacentral:lncRNA from 1 species
UAGCAAAGCCAAGUUGACUCAAUCGAGUGAUCAAGUCUAUAACCUUUAAACAGUGGUCUUGCACAGACGAUCCCUCGAUCAUUCUAGCACGGAACAACUGCUUAGAUAUCUCAUAUCUAGCAGUUCUGCUCUGCUCACCAUAUAACUCCCUCAAGUUAAGGAGUAUGGAGUGAGUAUCCAUGCUAUCAUGCUGCCUCUGCAAUUCAUUAUUCAUAGAAGCAAGCAUGAUACAUUUGACAGUCAAACUGUCAUUUUUCCACAUACGAUAUGUGGCCAAUUCCUCCUCAGUUGCAUCUUUUCCUGCCGACCCUAGGUCAGGGGUUUCAAGAA